GUGGUCAUCAGGCUCACGCAAGGACAGCGGCUCCACGGGCUCGAGCUCGAAACAACAAGAAGGGAAUCGUCCUGUUCAUAACACUUUGCUGCUUCCUGGCUGCCUUCUGUUCACAGCAUGGAUGGACCAAGAUCCAUUCAACUUUCCGCCCACUGCUGUGGUUUGUCUGGAAAGGGUCACUGGCCUCAAGCUUGCUCUCCAGUGUGGCAGUGUUGAGGUGGAGGAACUUUUAAAGGCAAGAUCUACUGGAAGUUUUCUCUAACCUCUGCGUGUGACUUCUGAACUGAUAUUCUUCUGGUGACAAGGGAAUAAAGCAAUGACACGCCUGAAUCAUCUUCAUGUGCUCAGGAGGAGAAAUCGCUGGCGUGGCUUCGCUCAGAGAAAGGGAAAAGGCUUAUUGUCCUUACUGUCAGCUGGGGGAAACCCAAUAGGCUGCCUCACUGUGCAAGAGAGAACAGCAGCCUGUCCUGGGAAAACAGGUCUUACACAGCUUC